rnacentral:rRNA from 1 species
UCUACGGGUGGCAGCAGUGGGGAAUAUUGCACAAUGGGGGAAACCCUGAUGCAGCGACGCCGCGUGAGUGAAGAAGGAUUUCGGUAUGUAAAGCUCUAUCAGCAGGGAAGAAGAAAGACGGUCCCUUACUAAGAAGCCCCGGCUAACUACGUGCCAGCAGCCGCGGUAAUACGUAGGUGGCAAGCGUUAUCCGGAUUUACUGGGUGUAAAGGGAGCGUAGACGGCUGUGCAAGUCUGAAGUGAAAGCCCAGGGCUCAACCCUGGGACUGCUGUGGAAACUGUGCAGCUAGAGUGCUGGAGAGGUAAGUGGAAUGCCGAGUGUAGCGGUGAAAUGCGGAGAUAUUAGGAGGAAAACCAGUGGCGAAGGCGGCUUACUGGACAGUAACUGACGGUGAGGCUCGAAAGCGUGGGGAGCAAACAGGAUUAGAUACCCUGGUAGUC